AGUCCACUCUUCCCAAAGCUUCAGAUCUUCUGCUGCUUCUUCCACAGUCUCACAAAUCUUCUUUCGUUGCUUUCCCAGCUUCUUCUUUUGCUUCAUUUCUGCAACUUCCUUUGUGUUAUUCGCAUAUUCUAAUUUUCUGUUUCCUUUCCCUCUGCUCUGCCCGAAAAAGAAAAAAAUUACUGCUUUUUCCAACUUUCGCUGGGACCUCUGCGAAUUGAUUUUUCUGUUUAAUUUCUCAACUUUUUCUCAAACGUCGUUUCCGCACUUUCCUUUGUUUUGCUUCCCUCCUGAUCAUUUUUAACUUCAUUUUGCUAGUUUUUGUGAUAUUUCCUGAAGAAGAAAAUCCUACAAAUUUCCACAAAAAAAAAACUGCUCUUUCAAUUUGUUACUGCUCAUAUCUCCAAAAAAAAAAACAAAAGAAAAGUCUAGUUAUCCUCUGUGCUUUCAUUUUCUGUGAUAGUUGGACUUCUUUCCUGUAUGUUCUUGUUUUGAUUUGUUGUUGUUCGUUUCUUGUUUGAUUUCACAAGUUCAUCAUCUUUCUACGAAAACCUUCAGAUUUCAUGGUUGUCUUUGAUCUGUGUGAAGCAUUUGUUUUUUAAAGUUGUUAAAAACACCAUGAGAAGGGUGGUGUCUCAUGCUUGAUCUAUGUUGGAAGUCCAAGGAAAGCUAACUGUUGCUGGGAGAUCUGAGGUUUACAUAACUUGAAACUUCAAAGUUUCUCGUUGGCUACUCAUAUUCAUAUUCUUAUCUUUCAGAACAUAGAGAGCAACCAAGAAGAAGAAAGCUGAUCCGACCAUGCUGAAUUAGGGCUCUAGCUGUUGCCAACGACCCUCAACCAGGCUGCAGUUGUCAUCGAACAAGUCACAAGGUUUCAGGAGUUUUUUUUUUUUUUUUUUUUCCUUUUUUG